rnacentral:rRNA from 1 species
UACGUAGGUGACAAGCGUUGUCCGGAUUUACUGGGCGUAAAGAGCGCGCAGGCGGUCGAUCAAGUCGAGUGUGAAAGCCCCCGGCUCAACUGGGGAGGGUCAUUCGAUACUGAUCGACUCGAAGGCAGGAGAGGGUAGUGGAAUUCCCGGUGUAGUGGUGAAAUGCGUAGAUAUCGGGAGGAAUACCAGUGGCGAAGGCGACUACCUGGCCUGUUCUUGACGCUGAGGCGCGAAAGCUAGGGGAGCAAACGGG